rnacentral:rRNA from 1 species
CCCGGGUCUUGUACACACCGCCCGUCAAGCCACCUGAGUCGAGAGCACCCAAAGUCGUUUCUCUAACCCGCAAGGGAGGAAAACGCCCAAGGUGAGAUCGGUAAGGAGGGCU